rnacentral:rRNA from 1 species
UACGAAGGGUGCAAACGUUGCUCGGAAUUAUUGGGCGUAAAGCGCACGUAGGCGGCUUAGCAAGUCGGAUGUGAAAUCCCUCGGCUCAACCAAGGAAGUGCAUCCGAAACUGCUGAGCUUGAGUACGAAAGAGGAUCGCGGAAUUCCCGGUGUAGAGGUGAAAUUCGUAGAUAUCGGAAGGAACACCAGUGGCGAAGGCGGCGAUCUGGGUCGAUACUGACGCUGAGGUGCGAAAGCGUGGGGAGCAAACAGG